rnacentral:rRNA from 1 species
UACGUAGGGUGCGAGCGUUGUCCGGAAUUAUUGGGCGUAAAGAGCUUGUAGGCGGUUUGUCGCGUCUGCUGUGAAAAUCCGGGGCUCAACCCCGGACUUGCAGUGGGUACGGGCAGACUAGAGUGUGGUAGGGGAGACUGGAAUUCCUGGUGUAGCGGUGGAAUGCGCAGAUAUCAGGAGGAACACCGAUGGCGAAGGCAGGUCUCUGGGCCACUACUGACGCUGAGAAGCGAAAGCAUGGGGAGCGAACAGGAUUAGAAACCCCCGUAGUCC